rnacentral:rRNA from 1 species
AUAUGGGGGGACCAUCCUCCAAGGCUAAAUACUCCUGACUGACCGAUAGUGAACCAGUACCGUGAGGGAAAGGCGAAAAGAACCCCGGCGAGGGGAGUGAAAAAGAACCUGAAACCGUGUACGUACAAGCAGUGGGAGCACGCUUAGGCGUGUGACUGCGUACCUUUUGUAUAAUGGGUCAGCGACUUAUAUUCUGUAGCAAGGUUAACCGAAUAGGGGAGCCGAAGGGAAACCGAGUCUUAACUGGGCGUUAAGUUGCAGGGUAUAGACCCGAAACCCGGUGAUCUAGCCAUGGGCAGGUUGAAGGUUGGGUAACACUAACUGGAGGACCGAACCGACUAAUGUUGAAAAAUUAGCGGAUGACUUGUGGCUGGGGGUGAAAGGCCAAUCAAACCGGGAGAUAGCUGGUUCUCCCCGAAAGCUAUUUAGGUAGCGCCUCGUGAAUUCAUCUCCGGGGGUAGAGCACUGUUUCGGCAAGGGGGUCAUCCCGACUUACCAACCCGAUGCAAACUGCGAAUACCGGAGAAUGUUAUCACGGGAGACACACGGCGGGUGCUAACGUCCGUCGUGAAGAGGGAAACAACCCAGACCGCCAGCUAAGGUCCCAAAGUCAUGGUUAAGUGGGAAACGAUGUGGGAAGGCCCAGACAGCCAGGAUGUUGGCUUAGAAGCAGCCAUCAUUUAAAGAAAGCGUAAUAGCUCACUGGUCGAGUCGGCCUGCGCGGAAGAUGUAACGGGGCUAAACCAUGCACCGAAGCUGCGGCAGCGACGCUGAUGCGUUGUUGGGUA